UGUAAUGAAUUUCCUACAAUAUGAGUGCACCAGAUCCUAUUAUAACUCCACAAUUAAGCGUUCUUAGGCUAGAUUAGUACUGUGAUGGGUGACCUUCUGCGAUGUCCUAGUAUUUGACAUGC
rfam:Picea glauca, whole genome shotgun sequence.